rnacentral:misc_RNA from 1 species
GGCAAUCCCACCUCCACCAAAGUGUCAUACAAAAAAUCCCAAUUAAUCUUAUCAUAUGCCUUUUCCUAAUCAAACUUAAUAGCCAAAAUCAUCAGUCACCUUAUUGGAAUUCUCCUCCUGUACACCCACAUUUUGCAUAGGAAUCUCUUGCUCCACCCCCAUUUGGUGAAAAUAAGCAUUCUCUUUAUGUCCAACUCUUCCACACUUAAAACAAAUUUCUAGAAUAGAGUCACACUCAACCACUUGCAUCUUCUUUAAAACAAACUUCGAUACAAGGGGCUCAUUUAGAUUGAUCACCACUGCUAACCUAGCAAACCUACCCCUUUGUAAAUCUGAAGUAUUAUAGUCCACCUUCGCUGCUCUACCAAUCGCAUCCCAAAUAGCUCGCAAAACCGAGUUAUGAUACAGAUGCAACAGAAGCCCAGGC